rnacentral:rRNA from 1 species
UACGGAGGGUGCAAGCGUUAAUCGGAAUUACUGGGCGUAAAGCGCACGCAGGUGGCUGAGUCAGUCGAUUGUGAAAGCCCUGGGCUUAACCUGGGAAUUGCAGUCGAUACUACGCAGCUAGAGUAUGGGAGAGGGUAGUGGAAUUCCCGGUGUAGCGGUGAAAUGCGUAGAUAUCGGGAGGAACAUCAGUGGCGAAGGCGGCUACCUGGCCCAAUACUGACACUCAGGUGCGACAGCGUGGGGAGCAAACAGG